CAUGGUGGUAACGGGUAACGGGGUGUUAGGGCACGACACCGGAGAGGGAGCCUGAGAAACGGCUACCACAUCCAAGGAUGGCAGCAGGCGCGCAAAUUACCCAAUCCCGACACGGGGAGGUAGUGACAAUAAAUAACAAUACGGGGUUCUUUAGGAUAAUUGGAAUGAGUACAAUUUAAAUCUCUUAACGAGGAACAAUUGGAGGGCAAGUCUGGUGCCAGCAGCCGCGGUAAUUCCAGCUCCAAUAGCGUAUAUUAAAGUUGUUGCAGUUAAAAAGCUCGUAGUUGAAUUUCGGGGUUAGUAGGUUGGUCAUGCCUCUGGUAUGUACUGGUCUCACUGAUUCCUCCUUCCUUAUGAACCGUAAUGCCAUUAAUUUGGUGUUGCGGGGAAUUUGGACUGUUACUUUGAAAAAAUUAGAGUGUUUAAAGCAAGCUAACGCUUGCAGUACAUUAGCAUGGAAUAAUGAAAUAGGACGUUCGAUCUUAUUUUGUUGGUUUCUAGGAUUGACGUAAUGAUUAAUAGGGAUAGUUGGGGGCAUUAGUAUUCAAUUGUCAGAGGUGAAAUUCUUGGAUUUAUUGAAGACUAACUACUGCGAAAGCAUUUGCCAAGGAUGUUUUCAUUAAUCAAGAACGAAAGUUAGGGGA
rnacentral:rRNA from 1 species